rnacentral:rRNA from 1 species
GACGAACGCUGGCGGCGGGCUUAACACAUGCAAGUCGAACGGAAAGGCCCUGCUUUUGUGGGGUGCUCGAGUGGCGAACGGGUGAGUAACACGUGAGUAACCUGCCCUUGACUUUGGGAUAACUUCAGGAAACUGGGGCUAAUACCGGAUAGGAGCUCCUGCUGCAUGGUGGGGGUUGGAAAGUUUCGGCGGUGGGGGAUGGACUCGCGGCUUAUUAGCUGGUUGGUGGGGUAGUGGCUUACCAAGGCUUUGACGGGUAGCCGGCAUGAGAGGGUGACCGGCCACAUUGGGACUGAGAUACGGCCCAGACUCCUACGGGAGGCAGCAGUGGGGAAUAUUGCACAAUGGGCGGAAGCCUGAUGCAGCAACGCCGCGUGCGGGAUGACGGCCUUCGGGUUGUAAACCGCUUUCGCCUGUGACGAAGCGUGAGUGACGGUAAUGGGUAAAGAAGCACCGGCUAACUACGUG